GGUUUGGGAAGUUGGCUGGAAAAAACUUAUUCAUGAAGGGGCUGAAAAGAAAGACAAAGCAUGUCUCAAAGAAGUUUGUGAAGAUGAAAUAAGCAGGAAAGAUGUCCAGGUCAGUGCUGGCCUGUAGCAGGGAUGCUUAAGAGCUAUGAACAUAUGUCAUAGAAGGCAUCCCAGGAUGGCUUCCCAACCAAGAAGCGAACCAAGAACUUUCCGUGGCACCGGGGAACGAAUCCAGAGGCUCACACACGGCUCAGCAAGCACUCCAUUUCUGAGAUCGACGGUCUGUCAACUUUCACAGUGUAUCAGGAUUUCAUUUCUGACCUACCAGAAUGGGAAAAAUUCAUGCUUUGUAAGAUACCAACUUGACGAGCCAUGGGUUUAGCCUGGUCCCAGGGCAGGAGGCGGCUUCAUGUUAUUCGAUGACAAACCGAGGUUGGACAGAUGCUUCAGCAAACAGAGGAAUCUGGUCUCCUCUGUGGGUCCUGUUAUAAAUCUAGGGUCAGAGGACACUAAAGUGAACAAGCGAAGCCUCUCGAGUGUUGGAGCUGCGGGUGCGCACCAUCGUGCUGGUGCAUCGUGGCUGGGCUCUGGGCUGCUGAAGUGUUGUACUGGAUAACGGAAGUACAGUUGCCAUGACUAUGGCUGCCAGGUACAAGAGACAAGUGAUUGGCUAUCAGCUCUACCUUGAGGCAGAUUCUUCCUCCCCUCCUCUUCCUUCUGCCACCAACUGCUAAAGUUCAGUGUGUGUGUGUGUGUGUGUGUGUGUGUGUGUGUGUGUGUGUGUGGCCAGAUGCAGUGAUGCUCAACUGAGAUGUCAGGCAGCAGGGACCCAGUGUACCAAGACCUUGGCGUAGGCUGACCUUCGGUAUAACGCCUUGGCCUUCUGGGUUUCAGGGACAGCUGAUGGUUGGAGAAACAGGCGGGGCACCAGAUGAAAUGACAGUGCCCAGGAACCCAAAGAGGAAGCAAGGAACUUGGACACUUCUCCCUGGGCAGAUGCCAGAUCUGUUGCCUCCAGGAUCUGCCCUUCCCCCUGCAAGCCUGACAGUCCCCGCCCCUUGCCUCUUAUAGCAGGACUUUGCAAACAGUCUUUCUGGAUGGACACUGGACACGGCUGCGCCUCCUCCCUGAACACUUUCCAUUCCCAGACUGAGCCUCAGCCACGGCUCCUCAGGAAAAUUGGCCGAAAGAGACAUUUUCCAUGCUCUUGACUCCUCUGGCCAUGCUGGCACGCUCCAACAUCUUCUCCCCCCUGGUAAACCACGCCCAGAAAGAGGAUGCUGUCCAUCAACCUGCUGUUACUCAUCCACCACUUAGUCUAAAGUCAUUUCAUCUCUCCGGGCCUCAGUGAUCUAAUCUAUGAAUAAACUAUUCAGGCUG
rnacentral:lncRNA from 1 species